GGGGUUGUGGCUCAGUGGUAGAGCACUUGCCUAGAAUGCAUGAGGCCCUGGGUUCAAUUCUCAGCACCA
rnacentral:tRNA from 1 species